AUUCACAGGACAAUUACAUACAGCAUAAAUGAGAGUUACGUAUACAUCAACUUGGUCUUUGAGAAGUUGGAGAAAUCUGUCUUGUAGAACUGACGUUGGAUCUUUAAAGAAGGCAUUAAUAUUUUCCUGUAGGUAUGGAUCUCUCAGAAUCAAACUGAUCAAAAGCGGGAAGCCAACUUCAUUACACACAGUCGGUAUUUGAAAAUAUUUGAUUCCGAAACAAUCAUCCCAGAAAACUAGCCCACCGUCACUUGAGAAUCUCGGAGCUUCGUUUUGUUUUCCUCUCAGAUGCACGACAUUAUAAUCCGGAAACUCAUUCCUCACCAAAUGGGUUGCUACUGUGGAUUUCCCACAUCCGGUUGCACCAUAAAGAAUUACAUAUCCUUCUGUCUUUACUUUUUUAACUGCUUUACUGUAUGUUUUAGGUUCUAUGAAUUUCUCUGAAAAACAAAACCAACAAGAUUUUUACUUUUAUAUCAAUGUAUUUAGCUCUAAAACUUCAUAGUUAUUUCGGAUUUCAAACAUUUCGGUUGAGCAUCACUGAAGAGACAUUAUUUGUCGAAAUACGCAUCUGGUGCAUCAAAAUUGGUACCGUAUAAGUUUUACAUAAUAGCGGUGUAUAACAGGCAGUGUAAUAAUCGAUUUCUUUCAUCAAACACCAGUAUCAAAUAUCAUCUCCCCAUUCAUCUAAACUGGAAUUUAAUUGGAAAGACGACAAUUAUAACUCGCAUAUAAUUAUUUCAGAGGGAAGAAGGAGUAUUGAUGAAUACUUUCAAGGUGUUGUAAUCCACUUUGAAAAGAAAAAUACAUAAUACAUGUAUAUGUGAAUCAAAUGUAUUCAUCAAAGGACGUUGAAAAAGAAUAUUGAGCGUGAGGAAUUCGAUUCACCACCAAUCGCAUCGAAAUAUAAUUCUAAGCACGUCCAAAUUACAAGUAUGAAAUUAUUUUUUCCGAAUAUUCCUUUGAUGGAAUGGAUUAAAAAUAUGAAUUUGGUUUUUUUUCAAAUUUCAUUUUAAUAUGGAGUAAUGAUCAACUGAUAGGUGGAAAGUGAUGUUAACAAACAGUUAUCAAUUUAGAAAUUCCUUUAAAUAAUACAGAAGUAAAAGGUGAAGAUAAAACUCAGUGAUCAAUCUCAUAAUUCCUAUAAAGAAUACAAAUUUACAAAUAGGUCAAAUGCAAUCCCUGGACAUACUAGAGGUGGGAUCAGUUACCUAGGAAAAGUAAGGAUUACCUGUCACAGCGAGCCCUUAAUUUGAUCAGUGUUACCCUCCAUGUCUGCAUUGGUUUCGGCUGUGGUGGUAUUCCCGACGUCCAUGAGAAACCCAGUACCUUCUUCUGUUUCUGAAUAACAAUAAAU